GGGGAAUUAGCUCAAGUGGUAGAGCGCUCGCUUAGCAUGCGAGAGGUAGCAGGAUCGGUGCCUGCAUUCUCCA
rnacentral:tRNA from 1 species